AUAUUUACCUGGCAGAGGAGAUUCUGCAAUCACAAAAGUGGUUUUCCAGGGUGAGGCUCACCCCUUGCACUCUGGGUAUGCUGACCCCUGAGACUUCCCUGAAUAUUGGAAACUCGACUGUAUAAUUUGUGGUAGUGGGGGACUGUGUUCAUGCUCUCCCCUG